rnacentral:rRNA from 1 species
AGAGUUUGAUCCUGGCUCAGAACGAACGCUGGCGGCGUGUUUAAGACAUGCAAGUCGCACGGAAUCAUUUUGGUAGCAAUACUCGAAUGGUUUAGUGGCGCACGGGUGAGUAACAUGUGAAUUACAUGCCCUAUAGUGGGGAAUAGCCCAGGGAAACUUGGAUUAAUACCCCAUGGUCUCGCAAGAGUAAAGGUGGCCGCAAGGCUGUCGCUAUAGGAUUGGUUCGCACCCUAUCAGCUUGUUGGUGAGGUAACGGCUCACCAAGGCUACGACGGGUACCUGGUCUGAGAGGACGAUCAGGCACACUGGAACUGAGACACGGUCCAGACACCUACGGGUGGCAGCAGUCGAGAAUAAUUCACAAUGGGGGCAACCCUGAUGGUGCAACGCCGCGUGGAGGAUGACGGUCUUCGGAUUGUAAACUCCUGUCAUCUGGGAGUAAGACCUGGUCGUUAAUAGCGGACAGGGUUGAUAGUACCAGAAGAGGAAGGGACGGCUAACUUCGUGCCAGCAGCCGCGGUAAUACGAAGGUCCCGAGCGUUGUUCGGAAUCACUGGGCGUAAAGGGAGCGUAGGCGGCGUGGUAAGUCAGAUGUGAAAUCCCGGGGCUCAACCCCGGAACUGCAUCCGAUACUGCCGUGCUAGAGGAUUGGAGAGGUAGCUGGAAUUCUUGGUGUAGCAGUGAAAUGCGUGGAUAUCAAGAGGAACACUCGUGGCGAAAGCGAGCUACUGGACAACUCCUGACGCUGAGGCUCGAAGGCCAGGGUAGCGAAAGGGAUUAGAUACCCCUGUAGUCCUGGC